rnacentral:rRNA from 1 species
AUUGAACGCUGGCGGCAGGCCUAACACAUGCAAGUCGAACGAGUGGCGGACGGGUGAGUAAUGUCUGGGAAACUGCCUGAUGGAGGGGGAUAACUACUGGAAACGGUAGCUAAUACCGCAUACCAUCGGAUGUGCCCAGAUGGGAUUAGCUUGUAGGUGGGGUAAAGGCUCACCUAGGCGACGAUCCCUAGCUGGUCUGAGAGGAUGACCAGCCACACUGGGACUGAGACACGGUCCAGACUCCUACGGGAGGCAGCAGUGGGGAAUAUUGCACAAUGGGCGCAAGCCUGAUGCAGCCAUGCCGCGUGUAUGAAGAAGGCCUUAGGGUUGUAAAGUACUUUCAGCGGGGAGGCGUUACCCGCAGAAGAAGCACCGGCUAACGCCGUGCCAGCAGCCGCGGUAAUUC